rnacentral:rRNA from 1 species
GGCGGCAUGCCUAACACAUGCAAGUCGAACGGAGUUAUUGGAUUCGUCUGGAUAACUUAGUGGCGGACGGGUGAGUAACACGUGAGCAACCUGCCCUCAGAGGGGGACGAACAGUUGGAAACGACUGCUAAUACCGCAUAACAUAUACUUGAGGCAUCUUGAGUAUAUCAAAGAUUUAUCGCUGAGGGAUGGGCUCGCGUCUGAUUAGAUAGUUGGUGAGGUAACGGCCCACCAAGUCUGCGAUCAGUAGCCGGACUGAGAGGUUGAACGGCCACAUUGGGACUGAGAUACGGCCCAGACUCCUACGGGAGGCAGCAGUGGGGAAUAUUGGUCAAUGGGGGCAACCCUGAACCAGCAAUGCCGCGUGAAGGAAGAAGGCCUUCGGGUUGUAAACUUCUUUGACCAGGGACGAUAAUGACGGUACCUGGAAAACAAGCCACGGCUAACUACGUGCCAGCAGCAGC